rnacentral:rRNA from 1 species
UAAGCAUAUCAAUAAGCGGAGGAAAAGAAACCAACAGGGAUUGCCCUAGUAACGGCGAGUGAAGCGGCAACAGCUCAAAUUUGAAAUCUGGCUCUUUCAGAGUCCGAGUUGUAAUUUGCAGAGGGCGCUUUGGCUUUGGCAGCGGUCCAAGUUCCUUGGAACAGGACGUCACAGAGGGUGAGAAUCCCGUACGUGGUCGCUAGCUAUUGCCGUGUAAAGCCCCUUCGACGAGUCGAGUUGUUUGGGAAUGCAGCUCUAAAUGGGAGGUAAAUUUCUUCUAAAGCUAAAUAUUGGCCAGAGACCGAUAGCGCACAAGUAGAGUGAUCGAAAGAUGAAAAGCACUUUGGAAAGAGAGUCAAACAGCACGUGAAAUUGUUGAAAGGGAAGCGCUUGCAGCCAGACUUGCUUGCAGUUGCUCAUCCGGGCUUUUGCCCGGUGCACUCUUCUGCAGGCAGGCCAGCAUCAGUUUGGGCGGUGGGAUAAAGGUCUCUGUCAUGUACCUCUCUUCGGGGAGGCCUUAUAGGGGAGGCGACAUACCACCAGCCUAGACUGAGGUCCGCGCAUCUGCUAGGAUGCUGGCGUAAUGGCUGUAAGCGGCCCGUCUUGAAACACGGACCAAGGAGUCUAACAUCUAUGCGAGUGUUUGGGUGUCAAGCCCGAGCGCGUAAUGAAAGUGAACGGAGGUGGGAACCCGCAAGGGUGCACCAUCGACCGAUCCUGAAGUUUACGGAAGGAUUUGAGUAAGAGCAUGGCUGUUGGGACCCGAAAGAUGGUGAACUAUGCUUGAAUAGGGUGAAGCCAGAGGAAACUCUGGUGGAGGCUCGCAGCGGUUCUGACGUGCAAAUCGAUCGUCAAAUUUGGGCAUAGGGGCGAAAGACUAAUCGAACUAUCUAGUAGCUGGGUUCCUGCCGA